GUCUGGCUACUGCCACUGGUAAAGUUACUAAACAUGUUAGACUUAGUCCAUCUAAAAGUUACCAUUCUUAACUUAUUCAUGACAAAGCCAGGAACUAAACCAGGAUUUGUGUCGGGGAUGCCUUUGAAAGAUGGACACCAUUGAAUGUUUUCAUCUGACGCAAAACUUGCUCAUUUCCUUCUUGAUAGAGACUCCAGUUGUUCCGUGUCCAGCUGCUCCUCCAAAGGAACCUUGGAAAAACAGACCAAUUCAUGAAAUGAGUCUGUCAAUAUCAAAUAUUCAAUAGACAGGAUUGAACAGAGGAGGGAGGAUAUCCUGUUACGGCCUGAGGAAAAGACUAGAAGAAUGCAAAAGCUAGUGGAAGUUGUGUGUCAUCGCACAGGAGUUGUGUAGCCAUGGUUUGAGCUGACAUUCCACACAUAGCGAGCUCAGAGCUCAGAUGCCAAUGAAUGUGAUGAAAGACCGUCGAGCCCGCCUGCAAAGUUUUAGGUGCAAACUGAGUGCAGGAAUGCAUAAAAGAUGUAAUAAUGAUCCCAGUCAAAAUGCAUCAGCUGCAUGUUGGAAGCUGCAAGAAUCAUUUGUGUAAAUAUUACACUGAGCAGAUAAUGAGGUGUUCAAUAUGGGCUGCAGGAAUACAGUAAUGGGAUAAACCAUAGUACAUUGUGUAUUUCUGUGUAAAUUGUUUAAAUAAAAAUGUU